rnacentral:rRNA from 1 species
UACGUAGGGGGCAAGCGUUGUCCGGAUUUAUUGGGCGUAAAAGGCGCGUAGAGCGGCUAGAUAGGUCCGUUGUGAAAACUCGAGGCUCAACCUCGAGACGUGCGCGGAAACUGUCGUAGUAGAGUCCGGAAGAGGAGAGUGGAAUUCCUGGUGUAGCGGUGAAAUGCGCAGAUAUCAGGAGGAACACCGGUGGCGAAGGCGGCAUCCUGGACCGGUAUUGACGCUGAUGCGCGAAAGCCAGGGGAGCAAACGGG